rnacentral:tRNA from 4 species
AGUCCUGUAGUGUAUUAACAUGUUGAAUUGCAAAUUCUAAGAAGCAGAUAUAAUUGCUGCCGGGGCUU